UUGAGAGUCUCACUUGGAGAGGAAGUAGUUGAUUUAUGCUAAUGAAGGAGUUGGGGUUUAGCUACGCUGGCUGGGAGCCGCCCUUCAUUCACCACAUGGUUGAACCCAGACUCCACUCGCGCCACUUUCGCAAUCUUACUACGAUUCCCAAACUCCUUGCAAAUCAAAAUAGGAGCACAUGGUUGGGUUUUCUGGAUUAUGCGUCCUACCUGUGACACUAUUUGUACAGUCUUUUUUUCUUUUCUCAGUUUUGCAGAUACCCAUGAAACAGUGUGAGUAAACGACCCCGGUGCACAUCUACCUCAUCUGGAAAGACCCUCAUUGUGGAUAUACAGACACCCCUAUUUGUUCUCUGAAUGCAAUCCUCCCUGAGAACAGCUUGGAAUCACUGUAGUGUCAAAGUGCUUACAGUGCAGGUAGUUUAAUAAAAUCUACUGCAGUGAAGGCACUUUCAGCACUAUUCUGAUGAUGGCAAGUAAAAGCAGGUUUAUUCACAUACACAAACAGCUUAUCCAGGAUUGACACAUGUUGGAGGACCUCAUCUCCAUGCUGCUGAUGGUUUUGGCGCCCUACAGUUCCUGUUGCAUGAAAAUAUCUCUAGCCCGACCCUUUUUAUGAAACAUGCUUGAUGUUUGUAAAGCAUCAUACAUGCUGUCACUGACAUUUCAGCAAAAAUACAAGACAUGCACAAAUCAUUGAUGAACCAGGUAUCCAGCAUCACAUCAACUAGUGCUUAUGCUAAGGUGCAUCUAGUGCAGAUAGUGAAGUAGACUAGCACCUACUGCCCUAAGUGCUCCUUCUGGCAUAAAGAGCUGGGACUCUCAUCUGCUGUGUGUUUAUGUUUAUACAGUCUGUGUGUCUAUUAAUGCAGUACACUGCAUACUGUAAUUGUGGCAGUUCUCUGUUAGUUUUGCAUAGUUGCGCUGCGAGAAAAAAAACAAGUUGUGCAAAUCUAUGCAAAACUGAUGGUGGCCUGUGUUUCCAUCUAAAUCCUCUUGGUGAACAUAUUUUCCUCCUUAAUGGUCCAACAGGUCUCAAUGCGGCCGUUUUGAAAAGGUUUCAGUAGUACUAAAGUGCUUAUAGUGCAGGUAGUUUUAUGAAAUUCUACUGCAAUGUGAGCACUUAAAGUACUCCUAGACUUAUGUUCUUCCCAGAAAACUGCAGAAGUAUCUCACGCACAUGGGUCUCUGGUUAGUUUUGCUGGUUUGCUUUCAGCUUUUCACUGUACUGCUGUGCAAAUCCAUGCAAAACUGAUCAUAGAACUGAAAAAAAUCCAGCAGAGGUGAUCCCUUUCUGUGCAGGUUGGGAGAGGUAGCAAUGCUGUAUGUGAGUGUGGUAUUGCACUUGUCCCGGCCUGUUGAGGAAAUGGGGAAUUAUUCUGCACAGGUUGUCCCUCAUCUCCAUCUAGAACUGACACAUCCUAGCUGUCUGUAUGCUGAACAUAAUUGGAUGGUGACAAGGAUUAUUACCCGUUUGUCACCAACUUUUCCCAGUUGCUUACUGUCUGAUGUAAUCAAAUGGUUACAUCUAAUAACUUUAUUUACUUAAAACAAUUGAAAUCAUGUUAUUUUAAUACAAUUCUUUCUUACUGUAGCAAAAAGUGUGUAAACCAUGCACUAUUUUUGUUUUUGAUGAAUCUUAAAUUGAAAUAAAAUUGUGCAAUUGGCUAAA